rnacentral:rRNA from 1 species
UACGUAGGGUGCGAGCGUUGUCCGGAAUUAUUGGGCGUAAAGAGCUCGUAGGCGGUUUGUCGCGUCGACUGUGAAAACCCGGAGGCUUAACCUCGGGCCUGCAGUCGAUACGGGCAGACUAGAGUUCGGUAGGGGAGACUGGAAUUCCUGGUGUAGCGGUGAAAUGCGCAGAUAUCAGGAGGAACACCGGUGGCGAAGGCGGGUCUCUGGGCCGAUACUGACGCUGAGGAGCGAAAGCGUGGGGAGCGAACAGG